GCCUUUUGUAGAAUGAACCGGCGAGUUACGAUUUGAUGCAAGGUUAAGCAGUAAAUGUGGAGCCGUAGCGAAAGCGAGUCUGAAUAGGGCGUUUAGUAUUUGGUCGUAGACCCGAAACCAGGUGAUCUACCCUUGGUCAGGUUGAAGUUCAGGUAACACUGAAUGGAGGACCGAACCGACUUACGUUGAAAAGUGAGCGGAUGAACUGAGGGUAGCGGAGAAAUUCCAAUCGAACCUGGAGAUAGCUGGUUCUCUCCGAAAUAGCUUUAGGGCUAGCCUCAAGUGAUGAUUAUUGGAGGUAGAGCACUGUUUGGACGAGGGGCCCCUCUCGGGUUACCGAAUUCAGACAAACUCCGAAUGCCAAUUAAUUUAACUUGGGAGUCAGAACAUGGGUGAUAAGGUCCGUGUUCGAAAGGGAAACAGCCCAGACCACCAGCUAAGGUCCCAAAAUAUAUGUUAAGUGGAAAAGGAUGUGGCGUUGCCCAGACAACUAGGAUGUUGGCUUAGAAGCAGCCAUCAUUUAAAGAGUGCGUAAUAGCUCACUAGUCGAGUGACACUGCGCCGAAAAUGUACCGGGGCUAAACAUAUUACCGAAGCUGUGGAUUGUCCUUUGGACAAUGGUAGGAGAGCGUUCUAAGGGCGUUGAAGCAUGAUCGUAAGGACAUGUGGAGCGCUUAGAAGUGAGAAUGCCGGUGUGAGUAGCGAAAGACGGGUGAGAAUCCCGUCCACCGAUUGACUAAGGUUUCCAGAGGAAGGCUCGUCCGCUCUGGGUUAGUCGGGUCCUAAGCUGAGGCCGACAGGCGUAGGCGAUGGAUAACAGGUUGAUAUUCCUGUACCACCUAUAAUCGUUUUAAUCGAUGGGGGGACGCAGUAGGAUAGGCGAAGCGUGCGAUUGGAUUGCACGUCUAAGCAGUAAGGCUGAGUAUUAGGCAAAUCCGGUACUCGUUAAGGCUGAGCUGUGAUGGGGAGAAGACAUUGUGUCUUCGAGUCGUUGAUUUCACACUGCCGAGAAAAGCCUCUAGAUAGAAAAUAGGUGCCCGUACCGCAAACCGACACAGGUAGUCAAGAUGAGAAUUCUAAGGUGAGCGAGCGAACUCUCGUUAAGGAACUCGGCAAAAUGACCCCGUAACUUCGGGAGAAGGGGUGCUCUUUAGGGUUAACGCCCAGAAGAGCCGCAGUGAAUAGGCCCAAGCGACUGUUUAUCAAAAACACAGGUCUCUGCUAAACCGUAAGGUGAUGUAUAGGGGCUGACGCCUGCCCGGUGCUGGAAGGUUAAGAGGAGUGGUUAGCUUCUGCGAAGCUACGAAUCGAAGCCCCAGUAAACGGCGGCCGUAACUAUAACGGUCCUAAGGUAGCGAAAUUCCUUGUCGGGUAAGUUCCGACCCGCACGAAAGGCGUAACGAUUUGGGCACUGUCUCAACGAGAGACUCGGUGAAAUCAUAGUACCUGUGAAGAUGCAGGUUACCCGCGACAGGACGGAAAGACCCCGUGGAGCUUUACUGUAGCCUGAUAUUGAAAUUCGGCACAGCUUGUACAGGAUAGGUAGGAGCCUUUGAAACGUGAGCGCUAGCUUACGUGGAGGCGCUGGUGGGAUACUACCCUAGCUGUGUUGGCUUUCUAACCCGCACCACUUAUCGUGGUGGGAGACAGUGUCAGGCGGGCAGUUUGACUGGGGCGGUCGCCUCCUAAAAGGUAACGGAGGCGCUCAAAGGUUCCCUCAGAAUGGUUGGAAAUCAUUCAUAGAGUGUAAAGGCAUAAGGGAGCUUGACUGCGAGACCUACAAGUCGAGCAGGGUCGAAAGACGGACUUAGUGAUCCGGUGGUUCCGCAUGGAAGGGCCAUCGCUCAACGGAUAAAAGCUACCCCGGGGAUAACAGGCUUAUCUCCCCCAAGAGUUCACAUCGACGGGGAGGUUUGGCACCUCGAUGUCGGCUCAUCGCAUCCUGGGGCUGUAGUCGGUCCCAAGGGUUGGGCUGUUCGCCCAUUAAAGCGGUACGCGAGCUGGGUUCAGAACGUCGUGAGACAGUUCGGUCCCUAUCCGUCGUGGGCGUAGGAAAUUUGAGAGGAGCUGUCCUUAGUACGAGAGGACCGGGAUGGACAUACCUCUGGUGUACCAGUUGUCGUGCCAACGGCAUAGCUGGGUAGCUAUGUGUGGACGGGAUAAGUGCUGAAAGCAUCUAAGCAUGAAGCCCCCCUCAAGAUGAGAUUUCCCAACUUCGGUUAUAAGAUCCCUCAAAGAUGAUGAGGUUAAUAGGUUCGAGGUGGAAGCAUGGUGACAUGUGGAGCUGACGAAUACUAAUCGAUCGAAGACUUAAUCAA
rnacentral:rRNA from 1 species